rnacentral:rRNA from 1 species
GACAGCAGUAGCCACGGGAACACCAGCACCUCGAGUGGUCAGGAGGUUUAUUGGGCCUAAAGCAUCCGUAGCCGGUUGCAUAAGUUUUCGGUUAAAUCUAUGCGCUUAACGUAUAGGCCGCCGAAAAUACUGUGCAGCUAGGGAGUGGGAGAGGUACACGGUACUCGAUAGGAAGGGGUAAAAUCCUUUGAUCUAUUGAUGACCACCUGUGGCGAAGGCGGUGUACCAGAACACGUUCGACGGUGAGGGAUGAAAGCCGGGGGAGCAAACCGGAUUAGAUACCCCCGUAGUCCCUGUCUCUUAUAC